CCUACGGGAGGCAGCAGUAGGGAAUCUUCGGCAAUGGACGCAAGUCUGACCGAGCAACGCCGCGUGAGUGAAGACGGUUUUCGGAUCGUAAAGCUCUGUUGUAGGGGAAGAACGUGUGUAAGAGUGGAAAGCUUACACAGUGACGGUACCCUACCAGAAAGGGACGGCUAACUACGUGCCAGCAGCCGCGGUAAUACGUAGGUCCCGAGCGUUGUCCGGAUUUAUUGGGCGUAAAGGGAGCGCAGGCGGUUUAGUAAGUCUGAAGUUAAAGGCAUUGGCUCAACCAAUGUAUGCUUUGGAAACUGUUAGACUUGAGUGCAGAAGGGGAGAGUGGAAUUCCAUGUGUAGCGGUGAAAUGCGUAGAUAUAUGGAGGAACACCGGUGGCGAAAGCGGCUCUCUGGUCUGUCACUGACGCUGAGGCUCGAAAGCGUGGGUAGCGAACAGGAUUAGAUACCCCAGUAGUC
rnacentral:rRNA from 1 species